rnacentral:tRNA from 1 species
GCCUUCGUGGUGUAGUGGUCAGCACGCAGAACCGGAAUUUCAGAGGUCCGCGGUUUGAUUCCCGGCGAAGGCA